rnacentral:tRNA from 1 species
UAUACUCUAGUGUAUAGGCACAAAAGAAUUUGGGUCUUUUAGACCUAGCUCUAACUAGGGGGUAUUA